rnacentral:rRNA from 1 species
AGCGAACGCUGGCGGCAGGCCUAACACAUGCAAGUCGAACGAAGUGUUCGGACUUAGUGGCGGACGGGUGAGUAACACGUGGGAACGUGCCUUUAGGUUCGGAAUAACUCAGGGAAACUUGUGCUAAUACCGAAUGUGCCCUUCGGGGGAAAGAUUUAUCGCCUUUAGAGCGGCCCGCGUCUGAUUAGCUAGUUGGUGAGGUAAAGGCUCAACAAGGCUACGCUUAGUAGCUGGUAUGAUGGGAUGACCAGCCACAUUGGGACUGAGACCCGGCCCAAACUCCUACGGGAGGCAGCAGUGGGGAAUCUUGCGCAAUGGGCGAAAGCCUGACGAAGCCAUGCCGCGUGGAUGAUGAAGGUCUUAGGAUGGUAAAAUCCUUUCACCGGUGAAGAUAAUGACUGUAGCCGGAGAAGAAGCCCCGGCUAACUUCGUGCCAGCCGCCGCCGUAAAAC